CGCUGUAUUUUAUUUCGAUUUUAAUUAACUUUCAAUUUAAUUUUAAAUUAUAAACUCGUUUUAUUUUGGAUUUAUUUGAUUAAAAGGUUUGGCAUUUUAUUUGGUUUUAUAAAUUGGUUUAAUUCGGUAUUUUACUAUAAGUAGCACACCGUUCUCGAAAGAGGAGGAGACGGGUGUUAUACUUUUGUCCAGUGUUUUUAAAACAGGACCGGAAGCCGAACGGAUAAUGUUUGGGUCACAGUUCAAUAUGGUUCGACUGGGUUAAACAUGGUUCAAUAAUCUGGUUUAAUAUAUUUUUACUGUAUAAAAUUAAAAGUAAUGUUAGUAAAUGACUAAAUUUUAUACAUAAUUAAAACAUAAAUGAAUUUAAAACAUAAAACAUUAUAAAUAUAAACUAGUUUUAUGUUUAUAUGGAUGGUUUAUAGAUUUUUGAUAGUUUUAAU
rnacentral:lncRNA from 1 species